UAAAAGGGUGUCUGCCGUACUGAGUGGUACAUCGGACUAACCUCCGGUGGGGUAUGGCUAUCAAGACAUACCCGACACGCAAUUUUUAAAACAGAGGGAAGUUUGUAAGCUUCAACGCUCGGACGCCCUC